CACCCCCGAGCUCCUAGUUGUCUUGAAGGCACCUUGCAUAUCUUUUUGACGUCAUGCUGGCAGUUAAGAAGACGUCAUGAGCGUCUUACUACCCAACAUGGCGGACUUUGAUACAAUCUAUGAGUUGGACGAGGAAGAUGAACGUGUAGUGAGUGAAGAACACCUUGUUAGAUAUUGCUCAGAACCUGUGAUUAUGCGAGGGGCUGGGCACAUCACCGUGUUUGGAUUGAGCAACAAAUUUGACACUGAGUUUCCCUCAGUUCUCACGGGAAAGGUGGCUCCAGAGGAGUUUAAAACCAGCAUCAGCAGAGUGAACACUUGCUUGAAGAAGACGUUGCCUGUCAAUGGGAAGUGGCUUCUUUGCGGCUGCCUGUGCUGUUGCUGUACAGUGGGCUUCAGUCUGUGGCCUGUUAUAUGCCUCAACAAGAGAGCGAGAAGAUCUAUUCAGAAGUUGUUAGAAUGGGAAAACAACCAGUUAUAUCACAAGAUUUCCUAACCAGACGGGAUGCGGGUGUGUGCGUGUGGGCACAGUGUUGUCUGUCCUCACUUUCACCUCUUCUCUGUAGCUGGGCCUGCACUGGAAGCUCAGCAAAAGGAAAUGCGAAAGCAGCAAUAUGAUGGAAUACGUAAUUCUUAUAGAAUUCUUACCCAAAUAUCCAAUAUUUCGACCAGACUGAGCUGAGGUGGCUGUUGGGAGACCUGCAGUGUGGCCCUUGACUCCUAUCCUUAGUGCCUUGUAUAAAUGUUGGAAUGAGGGUCUGCACCUGUGUCUCGGUGUCCCUUACAUCUCCCGGUACCUUGUACAUUAGAAAUUGCAACACUGUCACUUUGCUUUAGAGCAGAUUUUGCACAUUUCCUGAUGAAGUAGAACAAUGCUCUCUUUGUUGCACACAAAUACUUUGCUUUUGUUACAUAUAUGACAACAAGUGAUUGAAAAAAAUAACACUGAAAAGUGCAUUUAGCCCAAAGAGCCAUCAUCAAUUGAGUCCAUGUAUCAUAUCAUUAUUACUUUGGAAAAACAUGUGACACCUCCUGGAGCAGGGGUGUCAAACCUACGACCUGUGGGCCUGAGCAUUUUCAAUCCGUUGGUGGUUUGAGUAAAACAAAAACAUUGUUGUAAUUAUAAUUUUUGGACAUUUGAAAUGAGGAAAAACAAAUGGAAACUGUAGUAAAGAUAACAGACCUACAUUUAUAGUCUCUUCACUUCACUAGUCUUCUGUCCAGCUUUCUAGUAGUUAUCGAAACGAAAGCUAGACAGUCCGGGGGCAUUGAAACAAUUUUUUGCCGAUUUUGUUGGUGAGGAAAUAUAAUACAUUUUAAGUGCGACCCUCCCGAUCUCUGUGAAGAGCGAAUGCGGCCCGCGGGGCAAAAUGAAUUUGACACCACUUAUCCUAGAGCAUCCUUGCCCUUAUGUAAAACAAACCAUUUUAUUUACAAGACAGGAAGAGACAAACAUUUUGUAGCUCAGCAAGUUCAAAUGGUGGUUAUUUGGGUUAUUUUCCUCAAAUCAAUUUGUCUCUGUGACAAAAAGUAGAUGAGAUGCUUGAAUUUGCCAAACAUACGGUGUAAGUUCACAUCAUGGAAAUGACCCUUUUUACAGGGAACUUUAAAAAUAAAAAAUAACCUGUAAAUAUGUUAGUAUAAACUGUAGGCCUACAGUGGUAUGCUGUUUACAUUGUUAUUUAGAUCUUUGAUUUGUUUUGCCAAGAUAAUGCUAUACCAUAGUUUUGUUUAUGAAAGAUGUCUCUUUCCAGUUUAUAUGGACCUGUUUACUUAGUAAGCCAUACAAUUUACAAUGUAUGUGAUGCCAGAGGUAGGAUUGAAAAUUGUACUUGAGGUUAUCAAAAUGUCAGGAUUUCAGAGAAUGAUUUCAAACUGAGGUUUUUCAUCAUUUUACAAUGACACUAGUGAUGCAUGUUUAUUUGUGACUUUGCCAACUAAAAAAAAAAAGUGUCACCCAUUUCAAUGUGAGAUGGCUACUUGUCUUUAUGAUGUACUGUUGGAAUUAGACUCCAUCUUGGCACCUCCAUGUCUCUUUUGUUUUUUUUUGCCAAACUUUUUAUUGCAGCUUUGUCUUUGUUCCUUUUAUAGUUUUUAUUUUCCUAUACUGUGUUUUGUCUUUCUGUUAGUAGCUAACAACCACGUGCAACCUACAGUACAUUACAUACUGAGAUACACGUUUCCUUUGUUAUUCAUUUUGUACAGAGUUGUCUCAUUCACUUGUAGCUGAGAGUUUUGCUGCAUUAUAGUGCCUCUGGAAUGGUAGAUGAACCGCAGUCAGAGAAGUGGUGUGGUUGUGAAGACUGACAUCUGCUCACUUGUAUUGUGGAGAGCCCUGGCCCUCUUCCCACUAUUGGCCCUGUUACAGAGUACUUGUAAAUGUUUGUCAUGACAACUCAAUCCCUAUGGAAAGUGAAAAUAUAUUGUUGAUUUUGAA